rnacentral:rRNA from 1 species
GGAUGACGCUGGCGGCAGGCCUAACACAUGCAAGUCGAGCGGAUGCACGAGGAUCUUGCUCCUUUCCUGGCGAGAGGGGGGCGGGUGGCCUAUACAUCUGACUCUACUCUGGGGAGAGGGAUUCCGUAGGGAAACUUACGCUAAUUCCGCCUACCACCUAAAGGUGAGGGCCCGUCAUCUUCUGACCUUGCGCAAUUGACUGAGCCGAAGUCGCAUUAUCUAGUUGGAAGGGUAAAGGCCCACCACGAUCCCUAUCUGGACUUGGACUAAGAUCAUGAUCACUCACACUGAAACUGAGACCCGACUCCUACUCCUGGCGGAGGCGGGGAAGGUUAAUAUUGGACCAUGGGCCCGAGCCUGACCCGCCCCUACCGUGAGGAAGAACAACGCCUUCGGGUUGUAAUUCCCUUUUGUUGGGAAACAAAUCCUUCUGGCCUUGAUCCUGUUGGGAUGACGGUACACUAAGAAUAAGCAACGUCUAACUUCGUGCCAGCAGCCACAGUAAUACUAAAGGCGCAAGCGGUACUCACAGUUCCUGAACGUCGCGCGUGCGUAUCUGGUCGUUGAAUGCCAUUGUCAAAGGCCUGACCUCAACACUGCAUCUGCAAUGAUAUGUAAAACUAGAAGUGGUAGAGGGAAUUUGAAGUCCAGGUGUAAAAUGCAAAUGCAUAGAAAUAAGACGAACGUCCAAUGCCAAACGCCGGUACUUGUACUGACCCUGACACUGGAAGACCGAAAGCGUGGAAAACGAUA